UACGGAGGGUGCAAGCGUUGUCCGGAAUCAUUGGGUGUAAAGGGUGUGUAGGUGGACCUGUAAGUCAGUGGUGAAAGCCCGCAGCUUAACUGCGGAACUGCCUUUGAUACUGCAGGUCUUGAGUCCUGGAGAGGCUGCUAGAAUUCGUGGUGUAGCGGUGAAAUGCGUAGAUAUCACGAGGAAUACCAGAGGCGUAGGCGGGUAGCCGGACAGGUACUGACACUGAGGCACGAAAGCGUGGGGAGCAAAC
rnacentral:rRNA from 1 species